UACGGGGGAGCAAGCGUUGUUCGGAUUUACUGGGCGUAAAGGGCGCGUAGGCGGUCAGCACAAGUCAGUUGUGAAAUCUCCGGGCUUAACUCGGAAAGGUCAACUGAUACUGUGCGACUAGAGUGCAGAAGGGCAACUGGAAUUCUCGGUGUAGCGGUGAAUGCGUAGAUAUCGAGAGGAACACCUGCGGCGAAGGCGGUUGCUGGGCUGACACGUGACGCUGAGCGCGAAGCGUGGGAGCA
rnacentral:rRNA from 1 species